rnacentral:tRNA from 1 species
AAUGAAUUGCCUGAUUAAAGGAGUAUCUUGAUAGGAUAAAUCAUGUAAUUUUAUUACAUUCAUUAC